AGUCAGGGCCAGCAUUUGAGGAAAGAAGGUAUGACCUUUUGAAUUGUGUAGUUUCAAAAUCUGCCGGCCGUCUUGCAAAUCUCAUACCCUUCCUUUAAACUUCCUCGACUUCCUACGUUGUGUCUGAAAGCCAGUAGACUGAUUUAUGUAAAGGACUCGGGACGUUUUUGCCGGGAAAACGUGCACUUUCGAGUGCGAGCCGGUGCGAGCACGAGCACAAAUUGCAGGCUGCAGUUCACUUAACGGCCACCAGUGUCACUAAUAACAAAGGCUUCUGAACAAUGCAUUUAGCCCCUAUGUAGAAGAAAAAAGGGGAAGCUUAUUUUGUUAUGUUCUGUCGAUUAAUGCACCUGUACUGAACCCAGAAUAUUGCAUUCAAUUCAUGGUUAAAUGUACAGCCAGGUGACCACGUCGGACACGCUGUCGGAUGGUACCGCCCGUGUUUGCUGUCCUGACUUGUCCUUAAAUCACCUGAGAGAGGAUCCUGGGUGUCCUGCAACACAUGCUGUGUUUCCUGAAGGAAGGGCGGCGUGACGGUUUCCUCCUUAUGGUCCUCUUCGAGGGUGAUUCCCAGGAGAUGGGAGAUGUUGCUGCUCCGUGACAUGUCAACAUUUCUCGUUGUGAAACUAUCCCACACAAGACUUGCGCUACAAGACUGCGCUACUUCUCUAUUUACGGAUAUGACGACUGACGAGAAACGAGCGAGGGAUUCAGGUGUCAGUGCCACAGGUUUAUUGACAGCCGAUAUGGCGUGAUGAACCUUCUGGUGGGUCCCGUGAGGGAGGAGGGCUGAGGAGCGAAGGAAGGAGAGAGAAUGAUGAGAGAGAUGACAAAU